CUAAAACUUUACUACGAGGCAGCAUGUUUCACCUGGCUAAAAGAUUGGUGCACGUUGCAGGAUUCGGACCUCCUCGACCUGGAAGGUUUUGACAACCGUUGGGGAUGGCACACCUACCUAAUAUAUGGAAAAGCGAAAAUUCAUAAAAACUUUACCAACCAUAUAAUAAGAAAGUCACUCUUUGCUGUAUGGGAAAAAUAUAAAGACCUGAUGGAGCCUAAAGUCCCGUGGUGGACUUCUCCAGUAGAAGCCAUAGCAGUAAAACGGAAAAAUACUCAGGAAAGCUGGCCAACAUAUAAAAUACUUCUAAAAAAUGAAGAUAACCAAAUAAAAUUUAAAAACUUUGAGGAAAUAAGAGACCACAUUUCAGACUGGUUCCAAUACCAUCAGUUAUUUGAAAAAUUUAAAUCUGACAAACAAAAGGGGUUCUCAACAGAAAUUUCCCGAUUCGAAUCUGAUCUUCUAAAUUCUAAAAGAAAAACUCUUUCCAAAACUUACCGACUCCUCCUUGACUGUCCAGUCAAGGAGGAGUAGGUAACAGUGGCAAUGGUGAGGUGGUCCCAGGAUUUUGGCCACUCAAUAACCAUGGCCCAAUGGGAAAAUUUAUGGAAGAUCAAUUGGAAAUUCACAAAUUGUUACACGAUUAGAGAGAACUUUCAAAAAAUGCAACAUCGAUGGUAUCUAACACCAUGGAAGCUUUCAAAAAUGUAUAAAAAUGUAUCAAGUAAUUGUUGGAGAUGCGGAGACUCAGGAACAUUCUACCAUAUGUGGUGGAUAUGUAGGAAAAUACAGGUAUUCUGGGAGAGUAUACAUGCAGAACUGCAAAAAAUGCUAAAGAUCUCUUUCAAUAAAAAACCAGAGGCCUACCUCCUGGGAAUAACAGAUUUGGAUAUUCCACAAAAGAGGAAGGGUAUCUUUUUAUAUGCGACGGUGGCAGCAAGAGUUUUGAUCGCAGCAAAAUGGAAGAGUAAUGAAAUCCCCUCUAUUCAAGAAUGGAUCCAAAAGCUGACAGAAUAUGCUGAAUUAGAUGGUUUAUCAG